rnacentral:snoRNA from 1 species
AAGACUAUACUUUCAGGGAUCAUUUCUAUAGUUCGUCACUAGAGAAGUUUCUCUGAACGUGUAGAGUACCAGAAACCACGAGGAGGAGGUGUAGUAUUCCUUUCUGAGCGUGAAGUUGGCUUUGGGUGUUGGUUUUACAACUGCCCUUUGUCUUUGAUGAUCGUUCUUCUUCUUUCUCUCGGAGAAGUAAGAGGGAAGGGAUACUGUCUGAGUGGU